GUCAGGAUGGCCGAGUGGUCUAAGGCGCCAGACUCAAGGCUCUGCUUUCCCCACGCUGGGAAUUCUGGUCUCCGAAUGGAGGCGUGGGUUCAAAUCCCACUUCUGACA
rnacentral:tRNA from 2 species